rnacentral:lncRNA from 1 species
CCCAUUACCAUCCCUACUCACCCCCUCUCUCUCACCCGCUCUGUCCCUCUCGGCUCUCACUCUCACCCACGAAGCUCGUUCCCCUCUCACUCACCCACAAGCUCACUGUCAAUGUUUUACUCAUAUCUCAGCUAACGCAUCAUCAAAACCGCAACCAUGACGCUGGGCUUAGGAGGAUCCAGUGUCGUGGGUCAGUUUCUUCUUUGAUCUUGCCCUUUUUUGUUCAAUCUAUUUAUGCCCUUGAUUGAUUUAUUCUCUUUGUUUUGUUGUGUUUCUUGUUCUGGCAAAAUCUAUCGCAGCUGUUGCUUUUAUUAUUUUAUAAUUUUUUUUGGGUGGUUUUGUGUACUCUUAUGAACAUUCUUUUUGGCAUAAAUGCAUCUGGGUUACUACGUUUGAUUGUUAAUUAGACUUGAUCCGUAAUUCUAUGCGUUUUUUGAAUUUUUUUUCGGGAAAUUAAGUUAAUUUAGUUUAAUAUUAUUAGAUUAUUGUCACCUAAAAUUAGUAUAUUUAAUCAGUUAAAGAAAUUCUUUUGACACGGCCUUUACAAAACCUUGUAUGUGAUACUUUGAUUAGAAAAGUAUUUGUUUUUAUUUUUUAUUUAUAUUUUAAAAUUACUAGAAAUAAGUUAUUUGAAGUGUGAUAUUUUGUGAAAUGUUAAAGCUUAUGGUUUGGUUGUAAUUAUGUUUUUGCUUAUAUAAUGUUUACGUCUGUUGGCACUCAUUUUUUUUUUGGUAUUUAAAGUUUGCAUAUAUGGUGUGUAUUAAGAUUUUCAAGUUGUUCUUCAAACAUAUUCUGGGUAGUUUGAUAUAUCACACGUUUCAGUGAAUUCUUUAGUUGAGGCAAUUGUUUUUGGUCUUAGCUGCAUUGUUAAGUUCUUUACCACAUAGAAUUCCCUAGUUUUCUUCUGCUAAUCCAGUAAUUGCAGCUUCAUUCUAAGGUUCUUUAUUUUCUAUAAAGCAUAUAUUGCUUCAUUAACCCUCCUCUAAAAUCAAACCAAACGUGACUUGUAUUUGAUUUUUAUCCUUGAAAAAUAGAAUCCAUCCUUUUCUUUUUCUCUUUAUGCUGCUAAUAUGUAUUUGAUUCAUUCCAAUCUUACAGAUCAUUGUUGGAUGCCGAAUCAGCAUACAAUACUUACAAUUAUGAGAGGAAAAUGAACAACCAAUUGCCUGGUUCAGUUAGGCUUGAAGCUAGUAAGAUUGACAUAAAAACAUUUGUUUAAGAUAAAAUUGUAUCUUUUUUCUUUUUUUUUUUUGCUUAAUUUGGCAUUUCUAUAUGAUCUACUCUUAUUGUUGUAAUGAUUAUUGACACACUCAACCUUUGAAUAUAUGGAUAAAAAACCUUCAAAAUAUUUCCAUGUUCAAUCAUUGAGCAUUAGAGUAAUAUCAUCCAACCAACUAUUACACAAAACACAACUAAAAUUAUACAACAAAAGAAUAAGUCAAUGAUCAAUCUGUUAAGUCUGCUCCAAACUUCUCUGUCAUUAUCAUUUUGUUGAAGUAGCAAUUGCUGAAAACUCCCUUAUUGAGAACCUUUAUACGAUAUCCAAGAUGAAGAAUAAGGACAUAGAUGGGAUUGCUAGUUUGUACAAAAUAAGAACCAUAUUACAUUCCAGAAAAUAUAAAAUUAAUUAAGCAUAAAUAUAGAAACUGGAUUAUAACUUACAAUGUAAGAAUCAAAAGGAAACGAUGGAUAAAUAUCAUAUCCUUGUAAUUGGUAUAUGAUCACAUGUUCCUAAAUAAUGACCAUUAUUUAGUGACCAUUAAAAAUUAAAAAAAAAAUUAAAUAAUAUUACAUUAAAGAACAUAAAACUUACUGGAUCCUUAUUGCUCUCCUGCGGUGGGACUACAAUAUCCACCUCAGAAGAUAAUGGUGUUUGUACAUUUGAAUCCUGCAAAUCCAUAAAAAGAUACAUUAAAAUUAAAAUUAAAUUAAUUGUAGAAUAAUUAAGUAAGUAGUUUAAUCUUACCUUAAUUGUUGUCAUCUAAUUCUUCUUUUUUUGGCUCAUAAGAAGAUAAUGGUGUUUAUCAAACAACGUCAUACUUUUUUUGUUUCACAUCCACAUCAUUAUCAGUUUUUUUAUUAUUUCCAUCUAAAUUGUUGUUCAUCUAAUUCUUCAAAAUCUUCGACUUUGUAGUUUUUUUUUCAAAUCCUUCAUUUUUAUAUCAUGAAAAAUAAAUUAUAUUAAUCAUAUAUAAUUCAAACAAAAUCUACAUUUCAAAUAACUUAUUUCUAAUAAUUUUAAAAUAUAAAUACAAU